rnacentral:rRNA from 1 species
AUGGGGGGAACCCUGACCGAGCAACGCCGCGUGAGUGAAGAAGGUUUUCGGAUCGUAAAGCUCUGUUGUAAGAGAAGAACGAGUGUGAGAGUGGAAAGUUCACACUGUGACGGUAACUUACCAGAAAGGGACGGCUAACUACGUGCCAGCAGCCGCGGUAAUACGUAGGUCCCGAGCGUUGUCCGGAUUUAUUGGGCGUAAAGCGAGCGCAGGCGGUUAGAUAAGUCUGAAGUUAAAGGCUGUGGCUUAACCAUAGUACGCUUUGGAAACUGUUUAACUUGAGUGCAGAAGGGGAGAGUGGAAUUCCAUGUGUAGCGGUGAAAUGCGUAGAUAUAUGGAGGAACACCGGUGGCGAAAGCGGCUCUCUGGUCUGUAACUGACGCUGAGGCUCGAAAGCGUGGGGAGCAAACAGGAUUAGAUACCCUGGUAGUCCACGCCGUAAACGAUGAGUGCUAGGUGUUGGGUCCUUUCCGGGACUCAGUGCCGCAGCUAACGCAUU